rnacentral:rRNA from 1 species
GGGGUAACCCUUGCUUCCGCCUGGCGAGGACCGGGGCACGGGGGAGUAUCGCGUUUGUAACCUUCCUCUAACUGGAGCAUAACCCGAAGAAAUUCGGAUUAAUACUCCAUAAUACUAUCAGCUGGUCUCAUCUUACAGUUAAAGCUCCGGCGGUUAGAGAUGGGCCUGCGUGACAUUAGCUGGUUGGUGAGGUAACGGCUCACCAAGGCUACGAUGUCUAGGGGGUCUGAGAGGAUGGUCCCCCACACUGGUACUGAGACACGGACCAGACUCCUACGGGAGGCAGCAGUGAGGAAUAUUGGUCAAUGGGCGAAAGCCUGAACCAGCCAUGCCGCGUGAAGGAUGACAGCCCUACGGGUUGUAAACUUCUUUUAUACGGGAAGAAACACUCCUACGUGUAGGAGUUUGACGGUACCGUACAAAUAAGCAUCGGCUAACUCCGUGCCAGCAGCCGCGGUAAUACCGAAGAUGCAAGCGUUAUCCAGAUUUAUUGGGUUUAAAGGGUACGUACGCGGAAGAUUAAGUCAGUGGUGAAAUCCUGCAGCUUAACUGUAGAACUGUCAUUGAUACUGAUUUUCUUGAAUGUACUUGAGGUACGCGGAAUGUGUAAUGUAUCGGUGAAAUGCAUAGAUAUUACACAGAACACCGAUUGCGAAUGCAACUUACUAAACUGCGAUUGACGAUGAGGUACGAAAGCGUGGGGAGCGAACAGGAUUAGAUACCCUGGUAGUCCACGCUGUAAACGAUGAUCGCUCGUUGUUGGCAAUACACCGUCAGCGACUGAGCGAAAGCAUUAAGCUGAUCCACCUGGGGGAGUACGACCGCAAAGGUUGAAACUCAAAGGAAUUGACGGGGGGCCCGCACAAGCAGGAGGAACAUGUGGUUUAAUUCGAUGAUACGCGAGGAACCUUACCUGGGCUUAAAUGUAGAACGACGGAUCGGGAAACUGAUCUUUCUUCGGACGGUCUGCAAGGUGCUGCAUGGCUGUCGUCAGCUCGUGCCGUGAGGUGUCGGGUUAAGUCCCAUAACGAGCGCAACCCUCAUCAUUAGUUGCCAGCGGGUAAUGCCGGGGACUCUAAUGAAACUGCCGGUGUAAACCGAGAGGAAGGUGGGGAUGACGUCAAGUCAGCACGGCCCUUAUGUCCAGGGUUCCACACGUGUUACAAUGGUUGGUCCAAAGGGCAGGUACAUGCUAUCAGGAUAAUAAUCUCGAAAACCGGUCUCAGUUCGGAUAGGAGUCUGCAACUAGACUUAGUGAAGCUGGAUUCGGUAGUAAUCGCGCAUCAGCCACGGCGCGGCGAAUACGUUCCCGGGCCUUGUACAC